AUAUGUUCAAUAGGGAUGAUUUGAGAACAUAUUUAUGUGCAUAUUUUGUUUCUAUCAAUGGAGUAUUUCUAAAUGUGACAUAUAUGUUCUCAGGUCACCCCUAUAGAUUAUUC
rnacentral:pre_miRNA from 1 species